rnacentral:rRNA from 1 species
AUGGAGCUCGCCAUAUCUGCAGUAGCAGGUGAAUUUGUGAGCCGAUUCGUCUCCUACCUCGCCGACAAGUACCGCUCGAGCCGCUGCACACAGUCGGGAGAGAAGCAGCUGAAGAGGCUGCAGCAGCUGCUCCUGAGAGCCCGCACGGUUGUCGAGGAGGCGGACGGGCGGUACAUCACCAACUCUGGGAUGCUGGCGCAGCUCACCAUGCUCGCGGACGGCAUGUACCGAGGCUACUGGGCGCUAGGGGCCUUUGGGUACAUGUCCCUUGAAGAGACAGAGACUAGUCCCAUGGAGGUUAGCAGCUCAUCUCCCCGCAAACGUCUUUGCACGGUUCAUGGCAGUGCUAGGAAGAACAAGGCCAUGUACUUUGCCGACCUGCAAAGUGUGGUUGAGAGCUUGGAGGACGUCGUCGCUGGCUUGACGGAGUUUGUGGUUCUUUUGGGUGGAUGCGACUGUAUGCUGCGUCGACCAUACGAUGCAUAUCUUUACAAUGACACCAUCAUGUUCGGACGCCACACCGAGAAGCAAAAGCUCCUGAACUUCAUGCUGCAGCACAGUUCAAGCUCGCCUGGUGGUACGCCGGCUGUUCUCCCGAUCAUCGGUGGUCCUGCGGUCGGGAAGAGGACUCUAGUGGCCCAUGUAUGCAAGGACGAGAGGAUCAGCUCAUACUUCUCUUCGAUUCUGCACUUGAAUGGAGACUCCUUCUGCCGAAUCGCAGACCGUGAUCGGAGCUUCUUGCGAGGGAAGAUACUGGUCGUUGUUGAGCUUGUCGCAGACGUCGACGAGAAGGAUUGGGCCGAGUUCUGCUCAACAUUGGCAAGCAUGGACAGUGGAAGCAAAGUGAUCAUCAUCAGCCGGCUUAGAAGUACAGAGCGAUUCGGGACAGUGCGGCCGAUCUUCCUCGACACCCUGUCAUACGAGGAGUUCAGCUACCUCUUCAAGACACUCGCAUUCGGGAGCGCAAACCCGGCGCAUCACCCGCAGCUGGCACGGAUUGCAGACGAAUUGGCCGAGGAGUUCCGGACGGAAUGUUCGCUCGUCGGCACAAACAUAUUUGCGGAUGUGAUGAGGAGGAAUCUGAACGUCCAUUUCUGGUUCGGCAUGCUGAGCAGGCUGAGGAGAUUUGCUGAGAGGAACGUCUCCAUGUUUGGGGAACACCCGAGGUUGCUCGUCGAGAGACGCCAUCAGAUAGACGUUACGGACUUCGUCUUGCAUCCGGCUGCUUCUCCGCUCCGCAUCGUGCCUUCCUGCACCAGUGGCAGCAGCCGCACUGAGGUUACAGCGGAGAGGGCAUCGCUGCCAAGGGUGAGGCUUGGAGAUCUUGUGAUGGAUCCUGGAGUCCGACCGCAAGGGGAUUUCAAUGUGGUUUCCUGGGAAUCAAGGUUGCCUCCUUUCACCUCAUUUGUUCAUUUCGUUCCAAAUAGAAAUGGUGCUCCAGGUUUGGCAAAACAGAGUCCUCCCCUGUCUGGGAGGAAGCGUCCAGCAGUUGCUUUGUAA